CCAAAGCAUGUAGAAAACAACAGUAGUAACAACAAUCUAACGCGAAAGUAAUCUGAUAGAAUCUGUAAGCAAAAUAAUGGAAGAUGAUAAUUCCAGUGAAGAACUGAGUAAAAACGUUCGCAGGGCAGUCGGAGCCAAGUUAGGUAAUGGUAAAAACAAGAAAUCUUUUAAGUUGCUUUAUUGUGCAUCUAUAGACUCUUAUGCCCCUGAUGUAGAAACGUUCCAUCUUCAUUGCGACUCAAAAGCGCCGACAUUGACCAUUUUGCACGGAAACAACACUGUAUUUGGCGGCUACACAAGCAUAUACUGGAGUUCUUCCAAACAUCAUGUUAAGAAAGAUAAACAGGCCUUUUUAUUUUUCAUGAACGAUAAUGAAGGGGCUGUUUGCAAGUUUUUUCCUGUGAAGGACAAUAAAACUGACAUAGCCAUUACAUGUGAUGCAAACUUCGGUCCAACCUUCGGGGCAAAAUCACUUAGGAAUCAUUACGACCUCCAGGUUUUCAAGAAAGAUUCUAAGCCUGAAUCAAAACGAAAAGGAGACUUCCUUCAAUUAAAUGGUGUGUUUGAUAUCGGCAAUGCUUAUAAUACGAACGACGAAGACGGAGGAAAAGUAACGAGCAAGGACAUCAAUUCGGGAAUGUUGAUAGUGAAGAAGAUUGAAGUGUUCCAUGUUUUAGAUGACGAGAAUCCUAAACCGUGGAGAACACAACUUGAGGAUGAACAUGCUAGAAAGAUGAAAGAAGAACUUGUAAUGAAGGAACCUAUACCCGGUUUAGGCAUAAAAAAUACAACAUGCUUCUGAUUGGGACAGUUGGUGUGGGAAAGUCUAGUUUUUACAACACCCUUGCGACUGUUUUCGGAGAUAAAGUAAAGACACAUGCUCCUGCAAGAGAGUCGAAAGGAAGUGUCACAAAUGAGGUUAAAGCAUACACGAUUGAGACAGAAAGAGGUGAGGAACUAUGUGUACGAAUAUUUGAUAUCAGGGGAUUUGAAUCACAGAGAGGAUACGAGCAUGAACUUGCUCUAAUUUUAAAUGGACAAUUAUCUAUCGGCUAUAAAUUUCCAGACAAAAUGUCUGAACCAACGGAGAAAGACAUACGGAAGACUGGAACCUUGGAUGACGAAAUCCACUUACUGUGUUUCUUGACAGGCCCGCCUGAAAAUUAUAACACAGCCCAAAUCCAGGAGAUUGACAACAUUAAACAUAUAACCGACCUGAAAGGUCUGCCAAUGGUUGUUGUAGCAACCAAGUUUGAUGAACAAUGCCUGAGUAUAACAGAGGAUGUGGACCAUCUGUAUAAAUGCAAAAAGUCAGAAGAGAUCACGGCAUAUAUAGCAAAGUUUUUUUAAGAUUCCGGAAAACCUCGUUCUUCCGGUUGUUAAUUACACUUCUGAUGACGAGAAAUCAAAAGGAAAAGACAGACUAGCUCUACAAGCUUUAUAUAAAAUGGUAGAAGUCACAGAGGAGUACUGUGCAAAACAUACAGACAAGAAAACAAAAUCGGAUGAGUUGGAAGAGCGAGGAAAACGGCUUUUAAAGGAAAGAGACGUUGAAAUUAGACGUCUGAGGGAGGAAACGGCGAGAUUUGAAACUAAACAAAUUCGCAUACUUUGUAUUGGACCAAUGCAUUCUGGAAAAACAUGUUUCAUUGAUUCAAUAUCUUCGGCCUUACUGCGAAAGAUUAGCCACAAUAUAGAAGGGCACGGUGCAUCUGGAGGGCUAAGUAAUUGUCCAAACACAAAAAUGUUUCAGAUGUACAAAGUUGGAGACAAAAGAAGCAAUGUAUAUUUUGGUGAUAUGCCCGGGCUCGAAAAAGCUGGCGGUAUUACAACGGAAGAUAUACAAAACAUUGUGGAAGGCAACAUUCCAAAGAAUUUCAUUUUAAAAGAUGCAACCCCAAAAGUUCCACUUGGUAAAGGGGAUAAAAUCCACUGCGUCUGUCUUGUUUUCGAUUGCAAGUCUGUUGCUGCUGGAUUACCGGCUGAAGUUACGAGAACAAUACACACAGUCAAGGAAUUUAUGUCGGAAAAAAUUAAGUUCAGAUCCAUUUAUACUAGAGCAUUAACGUAUACCUUGAAUAGCGAUAUAGAAAUGACAAAGUGAAAUCAAAGUUAUUGACUCAAAAAUAUAUGUAUUUCUAGUAUAUGUGGCUGUCCGAGUGUUUUAUGUUAUAUCGAAUGCAUAGAUGGCAUCUUUUUGCUAUAUUUAGAAAGUUCAUAAACAGACAACAUUACAUUUUUGGAAAGGACUUUAAAAUUACUGAAUUAAUAAAACAAACAAAACCACAGAAUGUAUAACUACGACAAGAUAUAGUCUACUGAAAUGAACAGAAUUUCUCCAUCAAUUCCUGAAAGAGGCUAGUGGUAACCCCAAAAUAAGAACAUUUUACUCUUGAUGGGGACCUUAUAAAAUAUUUUGUUGUUCAAAAUUAUUAUAUUUUUGUGUAGCUGUGGGAAAAUAACCCCCUGUCACUGCACGAUUAAGGUCAUAAAAUCAGUUUGAGGACUUAUAUCAAAAUCGUGUGACAUAUCACUAAAUCAGGGUAUUUCAAUAAUCAAUUUUAUUUAGUGUGUAGAUAUUUAAACGAUGUUUCCAAGAGUGUAUAAGGUAAUAUUUAUUCUGAAUUUAAUGAAAGAUACAUAAUAUUACAAUUACUAGUAUUGGAUAAAAGUUUCAGUAGGUGUUAAACGAUGAUGCAUUUAUUUGAUAAUAUGUCCAAAAGAGCGCUUAGUCAUUGAAUAAAGUCACUAUAUGGAGUUCAGAUACAAAGAAAUUAUUUCGCAUGGGCACAAGCUACAUUUUCAUUCAGGGUAAGUUAUUUCGAUUCUAUUAUGAUAUCAAGGGUUGUUACCUACAUCCUUUGUGACAUCCGCCUAAUAUUUGCUUUCCUUUUGUGGUAUAUUCUAAUGCGCUAUGUCGUCAUACUUGUGUUAUACAAAAUGAUUUUUCGCAUAAUAUCACAAAGUUUCAGUUUUCUUUAUUUAAUAGGAACAUAAAUCGGUCAAACGUAAUGAGUAAUGAACAAAUAUAAAGAUAUACAUUUGUCUCUUAUCUUACCUUGAACAUACCCGCGAAACAAAGUUGAUAUUAACAGUCUCCGGAUUUCGUUUGCAAAUCUGGAAUUUUCGCAAACUCUGCUACCUUUUGUCUUUGACUUUUCUCUGAUUUUUUACAUUAAAUGAUAGGAUAGUUUAUACCUUAAAGAAUGAAUUCAUGGGAGGAUUUCAAAGUUGGUCCUUCCAUGGGAGUAUAUUUCUCCCAUGGGGUUUUUGCUAGCCCAUGGGGGGUCCCGCGGGUGAUUUUCUCCCACUUUACCAAUUACGGGAGAAAACAAAACGUGUUUUUGUUUUUCUGAAAUUUUUAGAUCAAAAUAUUUUAACUCAGAUUAAUGAUGUAUACAAUAAAAAAACUCUUCUGACAUUAUUUCGAGUUGAAAAACGACUUUGGAAGAAAAAAAUCUCCCAUAUUCGUUAUGGGAGGAAACCCCCCACUGGAGACUGGAUGAUUUUUGAAAUUGCAUUUAAUGUUUCACUUUUUGCCAAUUAAUUAUAAUUUUAUCAAUAUCAACUUAAAUCUAACUUAAAGAUGUAUUACUGUGCGAAAUAAAACCCCGCGAGUGAAAACCUCCCAUUGUUUUAAAUGGGAGCACAUUUCCAUGGGAGGUUAGAAAAUAAAUAAGAAUAGAUAUUGUGACAUUUUAACAGAACAAAACAUCAGUAUUUUAUUUUAAUACUAAUAUUCCAGUAACUUUUGGGUUUCUGCUCAGCGAAAAUAUUAGACAUUAUAUAAUUAUACAAUGCCACCGCCAAGAUUAAACACAGGCCGCCUUGCUGGUUAUGACCGUAGCAUUGCGAUCUAAACGAUGUCACAUAAUUAGACGGGGUCAUAAAACUUACUGAAGCAUAUACGAUAUAUUUGACCUGACAAAUAUGCACCGUGGGACUUUUUUUAAUCCAAAAUAUAAAAAAUACAGGAUAUUACAUGAAAAUCUCCUUUUAAAUUUAGGUUCACAAUGAAAAACAUAUAUAAUUCUAACCCGAUCUGCAUCUGUCAAAAUGGUAGUGUCAAAGGCUUAAAUCAUUAUUAUGCACUCUCUUUCUUAUUUGAAAUACCUAGUGUAUCUCCAUCAAAUGUAUUCUUCAUAUAGUUGUUAAAAGAUACGAUGCAAAGAAAUCAACAAUUUUCAAUUAAUGACAUUAUUAACAAAACAAACUUUGGACGAUCAGUUUCAUAUGUUUUACCCUAGAAUCAACUGUUCCAAGAGUUCGUUGUUUGAGAUAUGUGAAAGGAAAUGGCCAAUUAUGUCUCUAUGAGACCCGAACUGUUGUUAGAUGUCACAAUAUCACAUAAAAGUCGAAGAUAAAAGAUAGCUAAGUUUGCGAAAAUUCCAGAGUUGCAAACUAAAUCCGGAGACUGUUUAUUGAAAUGUAUUUUGUGUGCCUUUUUUAUGUAUUGAAAAGGCGAUUCAAAAGAUACGAAAAAUAAGGUAAUGCUCACAACGAAGGCUUAAUUUUAUGAAAAUUAUAAUCAAAUUUCCGUAGGCGUUAUUCAAUAUAAAAAUGAACAUACUAGGACGGGUAUCUGCAUGAAGCUAAAUACAUCGUUCUUGACGAAGAUGCUGGAAACUGUAUCUCGUGCUUUGCGAUCUGCUGAAUCUUGAUUUGAAAAAAUGAGUCGUCUUACAUUUCAAAAUUUAAAUAUGUGAUCACUUUAU